rnacentral:rRNA from 1 species
UCUUGGUCAUUUAGAGGAAGUAAAAGUCGUAACAAGGUUUCCGUAGGUGAACCUGCGGAAGGAUCAUUACUGAGCGUGAGGCCACGCAGGAGACUUCUCUUGCGCGGUCGACCCUCCACCCGUGUGAACUAUUUUUGUUGCUUUGGCAGGCCGGGCUCGACCUACCGGCUUCGGCUGGGGAGCGCCUGCCAGAGAAGCCCCAACUCGUGUAGUUAGUGCAGUCUGAGUCUAAAUUAAUAAGUAAAACUUUCAACAACGGAUCUCUUGGCUCUGGCAUCGAUGAAGAACGCAGCGAAAUGCGAUAAGUAAUGUGAAUUGCAGAAUUUAGUGAAUCAUCGAAUCUUUGAACGCACAUUGCGCCCCCCGGUAUUCCGAGGGGCAUGCCUGUUCGAGCGUCAGAACAUCCUCUCAAGCCUGGCUUGGUCUUGGGGCACGCCACCUCGGCGGUCCCUAAAUAGAGUGGCGGUACCGUUGUGCUCUCCGCGUAGUCACGCAUCUCGCGACAGAGCCAUGAUGGGACCUGCCAGAAUACCCUUCUUUUGGAUGACCUCGGAUCAGGUAGGGAUACCCGCUGAACUUAAGCAUAUCAAUAAGCGGAGGA